rnacentral:rRNA from 1 species
CCUACGGGUGGCAGCAGUGGGGAAUAUUGGACAAUGGGGGCAACCCUGAUCCAGCCAUGCCGCGUGUGUGAAGAAGGCCCUCGGGUUGUAAAGCACUUUCAGUGAGGAAGAACGCCUGGUGGUUAAUACCCAUCAGGAAAGACAUCACUCACAGAAGAAGCACCGGCUAACUCCGUGCCAGCAGCCGCGGUAAUACGGAGGGUGCGAGCGUUAAUCGGAAUUACUGGGCGUAAAGCGCGCGUAGGUGGCUUGAUAAGCCGGUUGUGAAAGCCCCGGGCUCAACCUGGGAACGGCAUCCGGAACUGUCAAGCUAGAGUGCAGGAGAGGAAGGUAGAAUUCCCGGUGUAGCGGUGAAAUGCGUAGAGAUCGGGAGGAAUACCCGUGGCGAAGGCGGCCUUCUGGACUGACACUGACACUGAGGUGCGAAAGCGUGGGUAGCAAACAGGAUUAGAUACCCCGGUAGUC